ACGUGCCAGCAGCCGCGGUAAUACGUAGGGUGCAAGCGUUAUCCGGAAUUAUUGGGCGUAAAGGGCUCGUAGGCGGUUCGUCGCGUCCGGUGUGAAAGUCCAUCGCUUAACGGUGGAUCCGCGCCGGGUACGGGCGGGCUUGAGUGCGGUAGGGGAGACUGGAAUUCCCGGUGUAACGGUGGAAUGUGUAGAUAUCGGGAAGAACACCAAUGGCGAAGGCAGGUCUCUGGGCCGUUACUGACGCUGAGGAGCGAAAGCGUGGGGAGCGAACAGGAUUAGAUACCCUGGUAGUCCACGCCGUAAACGGUGGAUGCUGGAUGUGGGGCCCGUUCCACGGGUUCCGUGUCGGAGCUAACGCGUUAAGCAUCCCGCCUGGGGAGUACGGCCGCAAGGCUAAAACUCAAAGAAAUUGACGGGGGCCCGCACAAGCGGCGGAGCAUGCGGAUUAAUUCGAUGCAACGCGAAGAACCUUACCUGGGCUUGACAUGUUCCCGACAGCCGUAGAGAUACGGUCUCCCUUCGGGGCGGGUUCACAGGUGGUGCAUGGUCGUCGUCAGCUCGUGUCGUGAGAUGUUGGGUUAAGUCCCGCAACGAGCGCAACCCUCGCCCUGUGUUGCCAGCACGUCGUGGUGGGAACUCACGGGGGACCGCCGGGGUCAACUCGGAGGAAGGUGGGGAUGACGUCAGAUCAUCAUGCCCCUUACGUCCAGGGCUUCACGCAUGCUACAAUGGCCGGUACAACGGGAUGCGAC
rnacentral:rRNA from 1 species